rnacentral:misc_RNA from 1 species
GAGUGAAAAGAGGGUCAGCGGCAGCGAAGCCGAGGCGGCGAAGACUGAUUGAGCGGAGGCCAGUGGAGGAAACUGGAAGAAGAGAAGCGCGGGUGGUGGAGGAGGAAGGAGUUGUGGUUUUGAGAAGGGAAAGGGUAGUGGGUGCUGUAGCAGAGGCCAUUGUUAGUGGGUUAUUUCGGAGGGAGAGAGAAAGAGAGAGAGAGUGAAGAUGUGCGGACUUAAAAAUGAAGAAGGUUACGAGGAUGUGAAAAUAUAAAGAGGGAUGAUGUGGACGUGAAAAACGAAGAGAAUGAAUGGGCAAUGUUAGCGGUGGAUAUCGGAUUUUCUCCUAUCGUUG